AAUUUUCUUUAGUUUAGACAUAAAUAGCGUAGGUGAGGGUUUAGCGUUGUUUAUAAAGAAUCCACAAAAUCUUUUUUUAAUCUGUUACUGACAGAUGGAAAUACCACAGCGUUUUUUCAGGGCAAAUUCAGUGCAUGUUGCUUGAGACAGCUUAGAGUAUGAAAUGCCAGCUAACUGGUCAAAACACAGGAAAAUAGCACUUUUCAUUAAAUUCUUCAGUCCUGAUAUGGGAAGUAGGGUGGUCGGGAGCCUUGAAUGCCAGGGGCUUGAGCUGGAUAUCUUCUGCUUUAAGAGAUGGAUGCCUCAUGGAACUCUUCAAAACAUGUAAUGCUUCUGUGCCUCACCUUCAAAGCUUUUUCUAAAACUAUAAAGCUUUGUCUUUCGUUCACCUCAUUUCCUUAGUUUUCAAGGAAACUCUUCAGAGCAUGCGGCUCUAUUACGCACGUGUAUGCAGUGGGUUGACCUUGGCCAGCAGCCAGAGGCCCAACCAGCCACCCUCUCACUACCCUUCCUCAGCGGGACAGGCAGGGGGAGCAAAUAUGAUGAAAAAGCUUGAAGGUAAAGAUAAAGAGAGGGAGGUUGCUCACUAGUUACUGUCACGGGCAAAACAGAUUCGACUUAGGGAAAAUUAGUUUAAUUUAUUGCCAAUGAAAAAAUCUUUGGCUUUUUUGAGAAACGAAGACAAACAUUGAACCAUGCCUUUUCCCCACACCCUUUCUCAGGCUUCACUCUUUCGUUCCCAACUUCUCUUCCAGGGAAUGGGGGCUGUGGUGGGUCUAUAACAGCUCCUCUCCACCGCUCCUCAUGGCUUUCCCCUGCUCCACCAUAGGCCUCUCCAUGGGCUGCAGGCCCAUGCUCUGCCAUGGAGCCCCUCCUUCUCCUCCUCCUUCUCUGACCUUUUCCUUUGCCCUGUUGUUUCUAUUUUCUCCCUCUUUAUCUGUCUGUUUAGUGUUUUUGCCCUUUCUUAAAUAUUUUUUCCCUGAGGCACCACCAGCUUGGCUGAAGGGCCUGCGCACCCAGGGGUGGGCAGGAAACAGGCAGCCAUGUUCUCAAACUGUAGCCUAUGUCCCUCAGAUCACCAUCUAUCAAAACGGAACUCGUGCUAAGGAUGGUGUCAUUAGCACUAUAAUGUGAUGAAACACAAGAAGGCUGUGGACAGUACUAGCUGAAAAUAAAGAAAUAAAAAACAGUGCCA
rnacentral:lncRNA from 1 species